rnacentral:lncRNA from 1 species
CUCAAGAAACCAGGCUCAAUGAAUAUGGCCGACGGCUUGACAGUCGACACUCUGGUCUGGCUCACGUACGUAGUUGCUUAUGAAUUAUGAUAUAUAGGAUCUGCUCUGUUUUAGCUCUCAAUACUUUGUUUUUCACUUUGAGUUCUGCAGAUACUUCAAACUAAAAGAUGCAUAUUUUGUAAAAAAGGUUAUUGAUUGGAUAAAAUUUUACAUUUUAUAAAAAAAAGAAAGA